CAUGGAUGUAGUUGACAGGAGUGCGACAGCUGGUUUCAAAGUAUUACCGCCCUUCCUUUUACACAGUGAGAAGGCAACACCAUGACAUUGCGUGUACUGUCCCGACCCUGAAGAAGCUCCUGUCCUCUACAUAGACAGUGAUUUACAGCUCCCUGCAGAUCUUUAUUACAUUUAUAUUGGCAUUAUAUGGACACUGCAGAAAGAGUUUUAUACAGGGGCCCCAACAGAUCUUGGGCGGGGAGGGGUUUCGACCUCUAGGACCCCCACGAUCUCCCAUGAUUGCUCCAUGCAGGAAAAAAGCCAAGGUGCUGGGCAGAAGAUUGACAGGGGUCUGACCCCCAGCGAUCAGACACUAAACUCCUAUGCUGUGGAUAGGGAAUAAGAACAUGUAUUGUGUUUAAUGUACUGUAUUAAAGUAAUAAUCAAUGAACCAAAACUGGAAGUAACAACUAACAGAUGCAACAUAGACAGCAAAAUUUCCCUAAAUUCUUCCUCCCAUUAACUUACAUAUCUUCCCACUCACAAUCUCUGUAAAUACAGUAUUCUGGUUAUGGCUUCUG